ACGUAGGGGGCAAGCGUUGUCCGGAAUUAUUGGGCGUAAAGGGUUCGCAGGCGGCCUUUUAAGUCAGAUGUGAAAGAUCACAGCUCAACUGUGGUAAGCAUUUGAAACUGAAAGGCUUGAGUUAAGGAGAGGAAAGUGGAAUUCCUAGUGUAGCGGUGAAAUGCGUAGAUAUUAGGAGGAAUACCAGUGGCGAAGGCGACUUUCUGGACUUAUACUGACGCUGAGGAACGAAAGCAUGGGGAGCAAACAG
rnacentral:rRNA from 1 species